rnacentral:rRNA from 1 species
CCUACGGGUGGCAGCAGUGAGGAAUAUUGGUCAAUGGACGCAAGUCUGAACCAGCCAUGCCGCGUGCAGGAAGACGGCUCUAUGAGUUGUAAACUGCUUUUGUACGAGGGUAAACUCACCUACGUGUAGGUGACUGAAAGUAUCGUACGAAUAAGGAUCGGCUAACUCCGUGCCAGCAGCCGCGGUAAUACGGAGGAUUCAAGCGUUAUCCGGAUUUAUUGGGUUUAAAGGGAGCGUAGGUGGACUGGUAAGUCAGUUGUGAAAGUUUGCGGCUCAACCGUAAAAUUGCAGUUGAUACUGUCAGUCUUGAGUACAGUAGAGGUGGGCGGAAUUCGUGGUGUAGCGGUGAAAUGCUUAGAUAUCACGAAGAACUCCGAUUGCGAAGGCAGCUCACUGGACUGCAACUGACACUGAUGCUCGAAAGUGUGGGUAUCAAACAG